rnacentral:rRNA from 1 species
UACGUAGGGGGCAAGCGUUGUCCGGAUUUAUUGGGCGUAAAGAGCGUGUAGGCGGCCACACAGGUCUGCUGUGAAAACUCGAGGCUCAACCUCGAGCUGUCGGUGGAAACCGUGUGGCUAGAGUCCGGAAGAGGAGAGUGGAAUUCCCGGUGUAGCGGUGAAAUGCGCAGAUAUCGGGAAGAACACCCGUGGCGAAGGCGGCUCUCUGGGACGGUACUGACGCUGAGACGCGAAAGCGUGGGGAGCGAACAGGA